CGGCAUAGGAUGAGCGUGCGUCUGAUUAGGUAGUUGGUGAGGUAACGGCUCACCAAGCCGACGAUCAGUAAGGGGCGUGAGAGCGUGGCCCCUCACACGGGUACUGAGACACGGACCCGACUCCUACGGGAGGCAGCAGUGAGGAAUAUUGGGCAAUGGGCGAAAGCCUGACCCAGCCACGCCGCGUGAGUGAUGAAGGCCCUCGGGUCGUAAAGCUCUGUGGAGAGGGACGAAAACCCUGGUUUCAAAUAGGCUCCAGGCUUGACGGUACCUCUUUAGCAAGCACCGGCUAACUCUGUG
rnacentral:rRNA from 1 species